CCUACGGGAGGCAGCAGUGGGGAAUUUUGGACAAUGGGCGCAAGCCUGAUCCAGCCAUGCCGCGUGCGGGAAGAAGGCCUUCGGGUUGUAAACCGCUUUCGGCCGGAACGAAAUCGCCCGGGUGAACAUCCCGGGUGGAUGACGGUACCGGAAGAAGAAGCACCGGCUAACUACGUGCCAGCAGCCGCGGUAAUACGUAGGGUGCGAGCGUUAAUCGGAAUUACUGGGCGUAAAGCGUGCGCAGGCGGUCUCGUAAGACAGGUGUGAAAUCCCCGGGCUCAACCUGGGAACUGCGCUUGUGACUGCGAGGCUGGAGUGUGGCAGAGGGAGAUGGAAUUCCACGUGUAGCAGUGAAAUGCGUAGAGAUGUGGAGGAACACCGAUGGCGAAGGCAGCCUCCUGGGCCAGCACUGACGCUCAUGCACGAAAGCGUGGGGAGCAAACAGGAUUAGAUACCCUGGUAGUCCACGCCCUAAACGAUGACGACUAGUUGUUGGGGUAGAAGUACCUUAGUAACGCAGCUAACGCGUGAAGUCGUCCGCCUGGGGAGUACGGUCGCAAGAUUAAAACUCAAAGGAAUUGACGG
rnacentral:rRNA from 1 species